GUGAGUCAGUUCUGGAGCAAUCAGUCAAUUCUUGGUGCCCUGAUAUGAUCAAAUUUAUGAACCUGCAAAGCUGAGGACUGCCUGCUGAGCUACAGUACUCACACUGUAAAACAGACAAAGCACCCACUCCACGGCAGCCCCGGCAGUGACCUCUGCACCCUGCUUCUCUGGCCACCCCGACAAAGAAUAUUUGGUCUUAACCUUUCUUGGCGGGGUUCUACUGACACUGCUGCUGAUGGCCCUUAUCUUCCUCAUCAUAAAGAGCUACAGAAAAUGUAAGUCUCCAAGAGCUGCGACAGCCCUUCUUUUUCUGUCUCCGAGAAUAGAGUUAGCUUUAAGGGGGAGUAAAAUUUGCAUAGCCCACCCUCUCUACGGACCGAGGACUCAAAUCCCUUUACUUCUCUCCUGGCCACUCCAACCCUCCACCCCGCCCACUUCCAACACCUCCCCACCACCCCAUCCCUUCACCCAAGAUUGAAGAAAGCAGCUUCCAAUUCCUCCAGGCCCCAUUGGUGAGACUUGUCCCUCUUCUUCCUGGCACUUGUGGCAGGUCACUCCAGUCCCCGGGCCCUGGAUCCCCUCUCAGUUCCUCCAGCCGAGUUUUCACCCCCAGAGGAAGCACUUACCUAUGCCAGCAUGACUUUCAAAAUCUCGAAAGAAAAGAGCAAUCACCUGACCGUGAACCAUUCUGCAGACUCGGACUCGUUGUCUACGCUCAAAUUAAAGUGACAAACUCACCUUGCCUUUCCAGUGAGGCGUGAGUCCCAUUCCUCUCAUCUCAGCUCCAUUGUCUUCAUACAUCACUUUCCCUUUUAACAAAUUUUGGACUACGACCUGGGUGAAACCACAGUCGGAAUUGUCUGGGUGUGAUUAGGCAAUGCUGGCCAACAGUUUUGAAGACCAAGGGUCAGUCUUUUUCCUGGCCUGAGAAAAGAUUGCUGGCCCUCCCACUUGGAUGGACAGCGAGUUAGCCCCUUGAGGGCUGAGACGGCCUUCCUUGUCCCCUUCCAAGUGUGUGGUACAGAGCUCAGGGCACAAAGAGUAUUCCCUCAGCAUCAUUGAUCAACUUGGGACAAGUCAACCAAAUGAACAAUCUAGAGAGGAUUACAAAUAAAAGCAAACUCUCUGCAAUGC